AUUGAACGCUGGCGGCAGGCCUAACACAUGCAAGCCGAGCGGGAACUUCGGUUCUAGCGGCGGACGGGUGAGUAAUGCGUAGGAAGCUACCCGACGGAGGGGGAUACCAGUUGGAAACGACUGUUAAUACCGCAUAAUGUCUACGGACCAAAGUGUGGGACCUUCGGGCCACAUGCUGUCGGAUGCGCCUACGUGGGAUUAGCUAGUUGGUGAGGUAAUGGCUCACCAAGGCGACGAUCCCUAGCUGGUUUGAGAGGAUGAUCAGCCACACUGGAACUGAGACACGGUCCAGACUCCUACGGGAGGCAGCAGUGGGGAAUAUUGGACGAUGGGCGAAAGCCUGAUCCAGCCAUGCCGCGUGUGUGAAGAAGGCCUUCGGGUUGUAAAGCACUUUCAGUAGGGAGGAAGAGUUGAGUGUUAAUAGUACUCAGCUUUGACGUUACCUACAGAAGAAGCACCGGCUAACUCUGUGCCAGCCGCCGCUGUAAGAC
rnacentral:rRNA from 1 species